AUGCCCAUGGAGGCGGCACUCGUCAGCGUGGCGAUGGGGGUCCUCAAACCCGUCAUAGGGAAGCUGACCGUUCUGCUCGGCAACGAGUACAAGCGUUUCAAGACAGUUCGCAAGGAGAUCAAAUCUCUCACUCAUGAGCUCGCCGCCAUGGAGGCUUUUCUCCUCAAAAUGUCUGAGGAGGAGGAUCCUGAUGUGCAGGAUAAAGUUUGGAUGAAUGAGGUAAGAGAGCUGUCCUAUGACCUGGAGGAUGCCAUCGACGACUUCAUGCAGAGCAUCGGCGACAAAGACGAAAAGCCAGAUGGCUUCAUCGACAAUAUCAAAAAUUCACUAUGGAAGUUGGGGAAGAUGAAGGCUUGCCGUCGGAUCGGCAAGGAGAUCCAAGAUCUGAAGAAACAAAUCAAAGAGGUGGGUGAGAGGAAUGCAAGAUACAAGAAUCAUGAGACCUUCUCCAAGACGGCCAAUGCGACUGUUGAUCCUAGAGCUCUUGCUAUAUUUGAGCAUGCAUCGAAGCUUGUUGGAAUUGAUAAGCCCAAGGCUGAGAUAAUCUAG
rnacentral:rRNA from 1 species